GGGUCGUUAGCUCAGUUGGUAGAGCAGCGGACUUUUAAUCCGUUGGUCACAGGUUCGAAUCCUGUACGGCCUACCA
rnacentral:tRNA from 1 species